rnacentral:rRNA from 1 species
CAGCCGCCGCGGGAAUACGAAGGGGGCUAGCGUUGCUCGGAAUGACUGGGCGUAAAGGGCGCGUAGGCGGUUCACGCAGUCAGAUGUGAAAUUCCUGGGCUUAACCUGGGGGCUGCAUUUGAGACGCGUGGGCUUGAGUGUGAAAGAGGGUCGUGGAAUUCCCAGUGUAGAGGUGAAAUUCGUAGAUAUUGGGAAGAACACCGGUGGCGAAGGCGGCGACCUGGUUCAUAACUGACGCUGAGGCGCGAAAGCGUGGGGAGCAAACAGGAUUAGAUACCCCCGUAGUCCCUGUCUCUUAUAC